rnacentral:lncRNA from 1 species
GUGGGGGUGCACCUGCUGGGACUGGAAAGCACAGGCCGAGGACUCCUCCGGGGGAGCAGUGGCGGGUGGGCAGGACAGGUCGUGGAAAACACAGCCAGCGCCCUCCAGUCCUGUGAGGGGACCUGCCCUCUCCAGGUAGGUAGACUCGCCUGCCCUGCCCGGAAGCUGCACCUUCUCAAGGGGAGGCCUUUCUCUCUUGGAAUGCUCUUCACUUGGAAAGUGCCAGCAGAUCACCAGGGCUCACACUAAACUGUAGAUUCCAGUGCCAUGGCCUAGGGAGGGACCUAAACUCCACAUGCAUUCCCAAUCCGCUCCUCCUGGCCUCGGAUUAAGCUCCAGGAGCAAGAUUCCAGUGCAUCUCGGGAAGACCCUUAGGUUAUAGUCCAGCUCUGUGACCUUGGAUAAGCCCCUCAAUUCCCAGAGCCUCAUUGUCAUGAUGCUGUAAAGAGGGACCUGCAGUCCCACAUCACAGGGCUGGGCAUCACAGGGCUGGGCAUCACAGGGCUGGGCAGAGAGUGAAAAAUAAGAAAACAGCUGUGAACCUGCCCUGUGUGUCACAAACAGCGUUCCUGGGAGGGGUGGGCUUGGGCUUGGCUCAGCUCGGCUCAGCUUGGCCCUGGAGGCCUGGGGUCGGGGGACAGGAGCUAUCCAAGCCCAGGCUUUCCCACCAGACUGGAGAAAUUACUUCUCUAGAUCUUGAUCUUGGGUACUAUUCUGAAUAGUUUUGGGGUCCUGCUGGGAGUGGGAAACUUGGGGUGGGCCAACAUCAAGAAGAACUUGGCCCAGAAAACCUGCUCCAUGCCCACCUAGGCUCCUGCCUGGCCUUCUAACCUGGGUUCUCUCCAAGAGCUCUCUGCCCCGCUCCAGCUGCCUGGAACACUCCCUCCCUGGUGGCCUCAGUUGGGCGCUUCUGUUCCCCUCCCAUCUGCAGGCUCAGCCCCGCCCUGUCCUCACCCCCCCCCUUCUUUGGAACUGGAGGCUGUGGGUUUCUAGGCGGUCUUUGCUUAGGGUCCUGGGUGCCUGGUUCUGGUGGCCCUGGCCCCUCCCAGGAAAGCAGCGUCUUCCCUGUCUCUGGUCUGGGGACACAGUUCCCACUGUGGCUGUAAGGUCCUUGCUUGCCGCAGUCUGGCGGGGCACAAAUCACGAGCCACUGAAGCAGGAACAAACUUUAUUUCUGAACUCCACCAGCACACUCCACACACGCUCCCCAGGAACUCUCCCGAACGCCACGCGGCUCCUCCAGGAACCACCAACUGGAAAUCCCUCCUCCGGCACUUCCCCAACCAAUGUGAACUCUUCAGGAAUCCCCGCGAGAGCUCAAGCAGAACUCAACGGGAACUCCGCGAGAACUCAAAAGUCAUCAUCUUAAUGGCUCGCUGGCGUCACCUCUCAACCACUACUUCUGGCAAAAAUGCCAUGCGUCAUCCCGACUCCGACUCCGCUGUGGCCCUCAACACUUGCUUAGCCUCUCAAUGGCCAUCUUAAGUGACAGCCACCAUUUUAAGAAAAAUCUUUUACUUUCCACCUAAGGGCCUUUCUGACAAAGGCUUCCCACUCCUUCAUACCAACCCCACCCUUAACCACCUCCAUUAGGACCCUCCCGGCUCUAAACCCCAAGCCUGUUUUGCCUCUCUCCAUCUCUCU